GUGGCUCGAACAAUAUGGUUAUGGGCAAAAGCAGAGAAAUAAAAUAAUUUUAAUUAAUAUAUUCAAAGUAACAGAAGACAAAAUAGAGAAAAUAGCUAAAUUGGACUCUAUAAAAAAAGAGUUGAGUGCAUGUCUGAAAACUGAAAUAAAGGUAAUAAUUGGAGUGGUAGCCCAUAGAUGGACUUGAAAAGCAUAGCAGAGUUGAAAAUUAGUAAAUUGAAGGAAAAAGGUUCAAAAGGAAAUGUCUAAACAAUAGCAGAGAGGAAAAACAAAGAGUGAAAAUAGUGAAACAAAUGUAAGAGGCAUUCUAGGUACAGUGAAAUCAUCUGCUGAACAUGAACUGAGAACUCAGAAAUGGAAAAGACACAGAACAAAAGAGUUAUAUAUGCAGAUAUGAUACAAGAAUUCACCAGUAUAGCUAAGGUUUUUUUAAUUUUACCUGAUGAAAUAUAUUAAUCCACAAAUUCAAGAAUGUUUGAAUUUAAGGAGGAUAAAUUAAAAAAAAAAAACAUGCCUUGGAACAUCAUAGUACAAUUGAAGAAAAAUAAAGACAAAAGAAAAAUCUUAAAAUCAACCAGAGACAAAGAUCUUUGACAGUAAUAAUAAGACUGACAGGUUUGGUAGAAGUUAAAAGUCAAAAGAAUAACAAGCUAAAUUGUUGAUCUACCAAACACAAAUUGUAUAUAUAGUUUAAAUAUUCUUGAAUGCCACAAAUUAAAAGUGCCAGGUAUUUAAAAUAGAAAUCAGAAACUAGAUUCACCUCUUUACAUUUACUUCUUUGACUUCAACUAAGCAGAAAUUUUAAAGUUACUAAGUCCACUAAGACAUCAUAUUUGUCAGAUAGUUUCCCUCUAUUUUCCAAAUCACUUUUGUACAUUAACUCAUUUGCUAUGUACUACCUCCUCCCUCAGUGAAAAAGCAAGACAAAUAUAUUAUCAUCUUUAUUUUAUGUAAAUGAAAGUAAGUUCAAAGAGAUUUUUUUCCUCUAAGAGAUGACAAAGUCAAAACUUAAAUGCAUAUUUCCCACCUAGUGUUCAUCAUUUGGAGACUACAAAGUAGGAAAUCAAUUAAAAACUUCAUAGAAGGGCCCAUUAAGUUGCAAAAAUGUAUCCAACACAUAACAAAAGGACAAUGGAAAAUUCUGAAGAAUUUUGCUUAAAAUUCCUUUAAUUUUAUGAAAACUCCAUUAUCUUUACCCUCUAAGUAAGAUAGCACCACAUUCCUCAAUAAUUUCCUGUAACUAUUGACUUUCAUUUUUAAUCUGUAAUUUCAGAAGAAGCUAAGAUGCUAAAACCUUUCAGCUUUACUGAUGGGUUUCCAUUUCAAAGGCCUACCCCAAAGUUAAAACCAUCAUGUUUUGUGAUCCAUAAGCAUCUUUAAGCUUGAAAAAGCCAUAAGACCUCCUUAUAGAAAGGUUACAAGACAACAUUUGAUGGAGUUCAAGGUACAAUUUUGCCACAAGGAAGGUGAAACAAAUUUCAUAUCAUAGAGUUUCUAUGAUAUGAGUAUCUUUAAAUCAACCAACUGGAACAUUGAAAGCAAGAUGCCAUCAAAUAGGAUGAACUUGUUCCUCAUACAUAAUCUUAUGUUAGACGAAACACCAACAUAAUGCUCUUUCCAUGACCUUGGAACAUCACUCUCACCCACUCUGGACAAGAAGCGGUGGCUUUGUUUUUGUCUUAUAAUACAACUUCUUUCUCUUCUUCCUCAUCUUUCUGAGUCUUUGUGUAACAAAAUAGCUAAGGUUCUUUAUUGUAAAAUAUAUGAAAAAAACAUUAG
rnacentral:lncRNA from 1 species